rnacentral:rRNA from 1 species
CAGUAGCCGCGGGAAUACGUAGGUGGCGAGCGUUGUCCGGAAUCAUUGGGCGUAAAGGGAGCGCAGGCGGGCAUAUAAGUCUUUCUUAAAAGUGCGGGGCUCAACCCCGUGAUGGGAAAGAAACUACAUGUCUUGAGUACAGGAGAGGAAAGCGGAAUUCCCAGUGUAGCGGUGAAAUGCGUAGAUAUUGGGAGGAACACCAGUGGCGAAGGCGGCUUUCUGGACUGCAACUGACGCUGAGGCUCGAAAGCCAGGGGAGCGAACGGGAUUAGAGACCCCUGUAGUCCCUGUCUCUUAUACA